rnacentral:rRNA from 1 species
AGAAUCAACGCUGGCGGCGUGCCUAACACAUGCAAGUCGAACGAGAAAGUGGAGCAAUCCACGAGUAAAGUGGCGCACGGGUGAGUAACACGUGACUAACCUACCCUUGAGUGGGGGGAUAACCUAGAGAAAUCUGGGGCUAAUACCGCAUAAUACCUUCGGGUCAAAGGAGCAAUUCGCUUAAGGAGGGGUCGCGGCCGAUUAGUUAGUUGGCGGGGUAAUGGCCCACCAAGACUAUGAUCGGUA